AUUGAACGCUGGCGGCAGGCCUAACACAUGCAAGUCGAGCGGAUGAAGGGAGCUUGCUCCUGGAUUCAGCGGCGGACGGGUGAGUAAUGCAUAGGAAUCUGCCUGGUAGUGGGGGAUAACGUCAGGAAACGGGCGCUAAUACAGCAUCCGACCUGAGGGAGAAAGUCGGGGAUCUUAGGACCACACGCGAUCAGAUGAGACUAGGUCGGAUUAGCUAGUUGGUGGGGUAAAGGCCUACCAAGGCGACGAUCCGUAACUGGUCUGAGAGGAUGAUCAGUCACACUGGAACUGAGACACGGUCCAGACUCCUACGGGAGGCAGCAGUGGGGAAUAUUGGACAAUGGGCGAAAGCCUGAUCCAGCCAUGCCGCGUGUGUGAAGAAGGUCUUCGGAUUGUAAAGCACUUUAAGUUGGGAGGAAGGUCAGUAAGUUAAUACCUGGCUGUUUUGACGUUACCAACAGAAUAAGCACCGGCUAACUUCGUG
rnacentral:rRNA from 1 species